GGGUUUCCAUGUCUACAAUUCCUUCCACAGUGAUGUCAGCACCUUGGUGAGCACCCUGAGGUGGUUAUCGGGAUGGGGUCAGAUGAUCCCUAAUUACACCUGCCAGGCACAGAACAAGAAUGUGGCUGUCACUGCAGGAACCACACCAGCAUUCUCUGCCCACAUUGCGACACUGUUGGAGCUCUACAAAAUACCACAGAGAACUCAAUAUGGAACACUUUUUCUCUUUUGAUUCAGACAACCUAUGGAGAUUUUGAUCCUGUACUGAAAGGAACUGAAUGUGGAAAUUUUUGGAGUGUCCAUUCAAUGCCUCCCUGGAGUCUCUGCCAAAGGAAACAUUAGACACGACUCUG